CCAAAUUAUCUUUUUCUACUGUGUCUUUUCCUCAUUGUGAAGAUACCCAUGAACCUACAAAAUUAAUGAAGAAUUAGAGAUAAUGAAUAACCUAUCAGGUCCUUUUUUCAGGCUCAAACAUGUUCAAAGAUGGAUGAAUAAAGGUACCUCCACAUCAUCAAUAUCAGAAAAAACUUUCUAGAUCACCAUCAACUUUACCGCUUUCACCUAGGGAUGACAAAUAGCAUUAAGAAGUUGAUCAGGAGCAAUCAACUUGACACUAUGAACCCAAAUGCGGACAGGUAGACUGAACUGAAAUUACUAUUGCAUGUUACGGGUAACUAACAAACCUUGCGUGCCAGGAUUGAGGAUCCUUUGAAGCCACAUAAUCGUUUGCAAUUUCACUAUAACUAACUGUUGGAGAUUUAACUCCCACUAAAUCCCGUGUCAAAAAAGGCAAACGGAAUUUCCAAAAAAAUAAACACAUAUAGAGUAUACAGAAUGGAUAGUAACAGAAGGAGCUAACACAACUCUACUGAAGAGGUAACAUCGAUGCAAUAAAUCAAUAGUUUUGAGCAGAAAUAGCGUGUACUUACUGACAACCGUCUGGUCCUUCACAUCGCUGGCCGGCAGGCGUGACGGCGGAGGCUUCUCGCAUGCUAACGACCAGGAGAAUCAUGACGAGGCAUAUGGCUAUGUGGCUGCUUCGGGCACUGGAAGAAGAGGCCAUUUUUUCGCGAG
rnacentral:lncRNA from 1 species